rnacentral:lncRNA from 1 species
AAUAAAUUUUCACACAAAAAAAAAACAACAACCUUACAACAAAUGUGAAAAGGGCUCCCUAGGAGUACCUAGGAUGCUUUGGGUGCAUAACACCUUCCCAUUGCAUAACCAACCCCCUUACCCAGAUCUCUGGCAUUUUUACUAGUUUUUGAUUCAAUAAAACUUUUAGGUUUUUGUUCGCUUUCUAACCAUUCCUUUGGAUAAAUAGAAGUGCG